ensembl:lncRNA
CACACACACACACACACACACACACACACACACAGACUCACAGACUCACAGACACACAGACACGUGCUUGAAGUGGCAGAAGAGGGUAUAUCAGAUCCCUCUGGAACUGGAGUUACAGACAGUUAGUUGUGAGCCUCCUGAUAUGGGUGCAGGGAACCCAAUUCUGAUCCUCUGUAAGGCCAGUAUUCUCUCUUGGCCACUGAGCCCUCUCUCAGCCACUUUUGUGCUAGACUUUUGUUGUUAGGGUAGAAGCUAUGUCCUCUUGCUGAGUGAAGCAGAUUAUCCACCACCUCUAUUUUAACCAACGCCUGCUAAAGGUCUUGCUUGGCAGCUCUGCACCCACAGAGAAAACCAGAGGACACGGCCUUUGUUCUCUGUCCCCUGAGUGGGGACUAACUCUGAGGAGGAGCCGUCACAGCAGGCUUGGUCAGAUAGUUUGGUAGUCAGGCACCAAGUCUGCCUGGGGCAGCCAUGGAGGCCUCCCCUGGGAAGCAGAGCUGGGGCUAACUCUCACAGGAACAGAAAUGUCUGGUGGAUGAAGGAGGUCAGCACAUGCAGGCAGAGGGAAUGAGAGAGAAGAUCUUCAGGGGAUCCUGGCCCUGAACCCCAAAUUUCUGCUUGAUUCGGGGUUUUAUGACAGUGAGCCUCAAAGGCCUUGUUAGGAUGCAAGCCAGUGUAUCAGUGACAUUUGACGGCUGUUUCUGCAAAGUCCUGGCAGCAGCAACUUCAGGGAGGAACAACUCACCUGGGCUCAUCAUUUCAGAUGUGUGUGGGGGAGGCAUGGCAGACAGUUUUCUUGUUGGCCGACAGGAAGCAGAAGCAGGAUGAUAGGAUGGUCCCAGGAGACACAGCCCCAAGGACGACACACCCACGUUAACUGCUUGCUCCAACUCAGCCUGGCUCCCACUCUGUGCUCUUCUCAAUGGUCGCUUCACAGUGCUAUGACUCCAUCAGGCAUUGAUUAAGUCAGAGCUCCCAGUCAAACUCUCUGGAAACAUCCUCACAGACACACGGGAGGCGUUAACUAGUCCCAACUCAAUCAAGUUGUCACAAUGAACCGUCACAGUUCUCUAAAAUCUCUAUCAGACCGUUCUCCCUACCAACACCAGCGUAGGGAAGUGGGCCUCCCAGCCCCCACGGUCGCUGCCACAGCUGUGUCAUCACGAUAUAGACCGUCCCUGUCUCAAGAGGUGGACGGUUGGAUCGUCCACCUAACAUUCCAAGCCCCGCUGCUCACCCCACCCCUGCUUGGGAGGAGCUCCGGAAGAUGUGAGUUGAACUGAACAGUGUUCCUGUGUCCCCUGCUGUAACAGAGGCUGGGCCACUCUGUGGCUACUGUCUCCCCCUUGUCUGAACACACACCUGCUGAAAACAGUCCGGUGUCUGUGAGGGUCAAAUACAGAUUCUCUGGCUAUUGUAUUUUUAAUGACUAGCGGGAGCUGUCUUAUUCCAGGCAGUUACCACCUCCAGGAAUCUUCAAGUUUGGACUUCUCUAAAUGUUAACGUUUCAUGAGCUAAAUUAUUAAUCCAGUCCUCUAAUCCAGUGACAUUUUUAUUGUAGCUUUCACUCUUUAAAUUUUGAAUGACCUCAGAUUCUAUUCGCGCCUGCCUUGGAUGUAGAAAAAACUGCACCUGGAGGGUACGGAAUUGCUGAUUCUGCAACACUGGCUUCUACUGUGACUAAAUGUCUCCCCUGCUGCUGCUCAGCGCCCUGGUUCUCCCCUCACCUGUUAGGAUGCCUUGAGCCGUGAGCCGUUAGAAGGAUCUUUCAGGAAAUGCCGGACCUGCAACUCCUUUGACUGCUACAUCAUGACUGUACAGCAUCUCUACCGAGAAGAGAGCGAUUUCCUGUUUGUCUCUGCUUAUAUUCUGAUUUUCCCAGCUACGUCAUUUCCUGCCUGUCUGUACAGACCUUCAGACCUCUAUGGUUAGCUAAUGGCAGUUUCUGCCCAGCUAUGUCACUUCCUGGUAUCAUAUGACGACUCCUCUCUGCCUACACUUCCCAGAAUCCUCCUUGUCUCCUAGUCCUAUCUAUCAUUGUACGUGGCCAAUCAGUGUUUUAUUCAUCAACCAAUAAGACAAACAUAUGCACAGAAGAAUAUUCCCCAUUAAUUGUCUGUUAUUAUGAAUAUGUAUUAAUGAAGAUGAAAGGAAACAAAAUUUGGUUUGAGCUUUAGCAAUCUUACAAUCUCUUUUCUUAUCCUUCUCUGGAUGCUAGUGCAACACUCAUUUAGUUCCAAGGACCUUCUAUUUUCAUUUUCCAUGGUUUCAGUAAGUUCUGGUCAAUUGCAGCCCAAAAUUAUUAGGUGGAAAACUCCAGAAGUAAAUAACUCAAAUGUUUUAAACUUUUAUCACAGUAAGAUUGCAUAGCUAUUACUACCAUUUUAUUACUUACUAUUCUUCAUCUCCUCCUGUGCUUGAGGAAUAAAGGAAUCUUCACUGUGCACUAGUGAAGAUGAAUGAUUAACAACAUGUUAUAUCAUUUAUAUUUGAUUCUCACCAGCUAUGAUACAUUCAGUAGUGUUGUUGUAAAAACAAUGUGAUCUAGAUAAAGCGACACUGUUGGUGGUAUCUGACGUUGCAGGUGUGUCUGGAGUGCUGGAGCGUGCCCUGGAGGACACAGGGCAGUGUGAUACAUUGACCAUUAUCAGACAUCCAGGAAGAGGGAGUCAGGGCUUCCUGAAACACGGCUUCAGGAAGGGGCAGCUAGGGAAUUCCCCUCAGCACUGCAUGGAUGCAGAAGGCGCGUUUCCGUGUUGGCAUUGGUCUCCUUUGACGUGAACCUGGUUUGCUGUAGGAUCCACAUUUGAGUUUCCUUCAGCACUUUUCAGAUCCUGACAUCAUGGACCUGGCUUCCUCACUCUAACACUGCAGAGCCGAACCAAGCCCCCUUUAGUGCUUUGGGAGAGACAGAGAAAGACCCUUGCCUGGACUCCACCCUCGGCAAGACUGCUACUGCCUUCAGCUCCUGCAGGGUGGCAGCCAGAUGUGACCCCCAGUUCUUCCAAAUGGCUUAGAUGGAUGCCUCUGAGUCUGCUGGGCCUGGCCUCUGCUCCGGCACUGCUCUGUUCUCAGUAGCGCUGCAAUGAAUCUGCAAGUCCCCUGUAGCCAAACAACACGUUGACCACUUCUUAGCUUUUCUUUAUAUAUAUUUUCAAUCUUCCAAGGCAGAGCUUUUCAAACAGACUCUGCUGAAUCCGGGCAGCUGGCCAGCGUGCUGCAGCACAACAGGGAACAUCUGACAAUUUCCUCGCGCCGAGUCAGCAUGGCCAUCCGUGCUCGUCUUCAGGGACAGAGGGGCUGUUUUUUUGACUUGGUCUCUCAACACUGACUUCUUACCUUUAUUUCUGGUGUGGGAGGGUCAAAAGCAGAGGUUUCUGAUUUCUUUCUUUCUCUCCUUCCCUUCCCCUUUCUAGCCACACUCCUUGCUCAAGCCCCCUCCUCUGUCUGUCUCUCUGUCUCUGUCUAUCUCUCUGUCUGCCUCUGUCUCUGUCUGUCUGUCUGUCUGUCUGUCUGUCUGUCUGUCUCUCUCUCUCUCUCUCUCUCUCUCUCUCUUUCUGUGUGUGUGUGUGUGUGUGCUGGUUUUGAGAUAGAGUCUUACUAUACAACUUAGGUGGCCUUGAACUCAAAAUUCUUGUGAGUCUCCUGCCUCAGCCCCCUAAGUGCUGGAUACUAUGCCCCAGCUUUCUGAUUUCUAUGGUUGAAAUUAUUAUAGAAUAAACUUGAGUCAGUGGUUAAAUUGUGGCUUACAGGUCUACAGCUUUGAUUUCGCCUGGAAUCUUCCUGUCCGUCCUGACCCUUGGGUCAACCCUUGAGUGUCCAUCUUCUUUGUUGCCUACCCAACAGAUAAGCCUCAUUGUCCCCUGACGCCAGUGACCUUCACGCUUAACAGCCUUUUGCUGCCUGUUUGUUACUUGUCUCCUCGACUGCUUCAUCACCCUGAGGUGCUCCACCUCUGGGGUCUUAAGCUUGGAUAAUUUACUCAGCUUAUUUUCAGAAGCUGGUGGGAAGGCUGCACUUCACGGUGAGUGACUGGCUUCCAGUUCCCACUCUAUACCACGAGGAGCAGUGACUGACUUCUAGCUCAGAGAGACGCGGCACAAAAGCCACAUGCAACUUGUGAGAACUUUCCUCACAGGAAUUCAUCGUUUUAUUUCUUCCUAUCUGCUGGGUGGAAUAAAGUGCUCUCCCGCUGAGGCUGGCAACUACAGUAGAGAGGGAACUUGGGUUUCUUCUGCUUCAAAAAGCUCUGCCACACCUCUGCAUCCUCAUGCUUCCAUAAGGAAGAAAUUCACUAUAUUGAAGACUCGGUGGUUCUUCGGGUUUUCUGCCCCUUACAGCUAAUCUCAACCCCAAUAUUUACAGCCUUACCCUGUGCUGAGUUUCCUUACCCUGUUGCUUGUGUGACAAGGCCCUUGGACCUCAAGUCUGAUCCUUCCAGAGUUUCACUGGGUAUGGUUUCCCUCUUUGCCCAGCCUCAGAGGCUGUACAACACUCAUCAUGACUCAGAGCUCCCCAGGGUGCCCAAACUGCUUGGCUGUCCUGUCCUGUGUCUGUGUGUGGAGGAGAAUUUGCAGAUGGGAUCCCCGGGGGAGGCAUCGCUUCUGUCUCUGCCACAUCCACAGCCCAGAGGCUCAAUUUUCUAGGGUCUCGACUGAAAAAAGAGCUGUGGAAGCAACCAGAGCCCUCAGCUCAAGGAAGCGGCUGCAGCCGUGUACAGCGCCUGGCAGAGUCGUGGAAGGCACACUCACUGGACAAAGAGGCUCUUUUAGGGGUCGCACUAGCAGAAGGAUGGGUGGAUCGGAGCCGACAGUACAAACAGGGCCAUUGCAGGGGAAGCAGUGGACUCCUGGGCUGUGUCUGCCCCAGGAACACCAGCCCAGAGGCAGUACCACCUCCCUGUGAGUGGUGCCCGUGUGUCAAUCAUUUAUCGAUUCUGGUUUGCCUGCUGCACUACAAGACUCUAUUUUUGAUGUAAGCCCAACGAAUCUCCAUAGAUGGUCUUGAUAUCAUCGUAAAGUUCAGCAUGAAGGAGGUGGCUAUAGGAAAAAUUAAUGAGAAGGGCAGACCUGUAGGAGUCAAGCAUUCAUCCCAGAGUGAGCCAAACUAGUUGAUAAAUAUCCCUGAGAAAAUGUCAGUUUCCUGGAUUUACCUUCAUCUGUUUUCUGUCACUCUGAGCCACAGCAAAGGGGACUGUCUUAGCUGGGGGUUUUUGUUGCUGUGAAGAGACACCAUGACCACAGCGACUCCUAUAAAGAAAACAUUUAAUCGGGGUGGUUUGCUUACAGUUUCAGAGGUCCGGUCCAUUACCAUCAUGACAGGGAGCAUGGCGGUGUGCAGACAGACGUGGUGCUGGAGGAGCUGAGAGUUCUACAUCUCCAGACACCAGGAAGUCGGCUGACAAUUACACUGGGGAAAG